rnacentral:tRNA from 1 species
GUGGUACUAGUUUAACAAAAAAAUAACAGUUUGUCUCACUGUAGUUAGCUUUUGCUGUACCGCU